UACGUAGGGGGCGAGCGUUGUCCGGAAUUAUUGGGCGUAAAGAGCGUGUAGGCGGUUCGGUAAGUCUGCCGUGAAAACCUGAGGCUCAACCUCGGGCGUGCGGUGGAUACUGCCGGGCUAGAGGACGGUAGAGGCGAGUGGAAUUCCUGGUGUAGCGGUGAAAUGCGCAGAGAUCCGGAAGAACACCGGAGGCGAAGGCGGCUUGCUGGGCGUAGUCUGACGCUGAGGCGCGAAAGCGUGGGGAGCGAACAGG
rnacentral:rRNA from 1 species